UGGGAGAUCUUUGGUUGCAUUUAGCAUUCUCUAUGAGACUUGGUUUCAUGCUUCUAUGGUAUAAAUGAGUUCGGAAUCAUGCAUUUAAACUUGAGGUUACUUGUGACAUGAAAGAUGACAAGAUUGUCAUUUAGGAGGUAUGUGAACUAGAGAGCUAAUGUCAUAAAGCGGCAUUGAGCUCGGGACAUGUGAGAACCUAGUGAGUAGGGCCAUCGAGGGACUUGGGUUACAUGUUGGACACCAAAUUGCCUAAGUGUCAUCAAGGGGCACUAGGCAUAGCAAAUGCUAAAACUUCACAUUGUGACUUAGACUAGAUCUUCGGGAUGCUAGUUAUGAUACCAUGUUAGAGACAUGAGGAUUGGAUAUUUGAGACUUGG
rnacentral:lncRNA from 1 species